CUACGGGAGGCAGCAGUGGGGAAUAUUGCACAAUGGGCGCAAGCCUGAUGCAGCCAUGCCGCGUGUAUGAAGAAGGCCUUCGGGUUGUAAAGUACUUUCAGCGGGGAGGAAGGUGUUGUGGUUAAUAACCGCAGCAAUUGACG
rnacentral:rRNA from 1 species